rnacentral:tRNA from 1 species
GGCGAUAUGGCCGAGCGGUCUAAGGCGCCAGACUAAGGUGGUUCUCUCAUCCUGCAGGAUUUGAUCAUACGCUCGCAUAUCUGGUCCGAAAGGGCGUGGGUUCGAAUCCCACUGUCGUCA